rnacentral:rRNA from 1 species
AUUGAACGCUGGCGGCAUGCUUUACACAUGCAAGUCGAACGGCAGCGCGGGCUUCGGCCUGGCGGCGAGUGGCGAACGGGUGAGUAAUGCAUCGGAACGUGCCCAGUAGUGGGGGAUAGCCCGGCGAAAGCCGGAUUAAUACCGCAUACGACCUGAGGGUGAAAGCGGGGGACCGAAAGGCCUCGCGCUAUUGGAGCGGCCGAUGUCGGAUUAGCUAGUUGGUGGGGUAAAGGCUUACCAAGGCGACGAUCCGUAGCUGGUCUGAGAGGACGAUCAGCCACACUGGGACUGAGACACGGCCCAGACUCCUACGGGAGGCAGCAGUGGGGAAUUUUGGACAAUGGGGGCAACCCUGAUCCAGCCAUGCCGCGUGCGGGAAGAAGGCCUUCGGGUUGUAAACCGCUUUUGUUCGGGAAGAAAUCCUCUGGGCUAAUACCCCGGGGGGAUGACGGUACCGGAAGAAUAAGCACCGGCUAACUACGUG